rnacentral:rRNA from 1 species
UACGUAGGCAGCGAGCGUUGUUCGGAGUUACUGGGCGUAAAGGGUGUGUAGGCGGUCCCUUAAGUUUGGUGUGAAAUCUCCCGGCUCAACUGGGAGGGUGCGCCGGAUACUGAGGGGCUAGAGUGCGGGAAGGGAGAGUGGAAUUCCUGGUGUAGCGGUGAAAUGCGUAGAUAUCAGGAGGAACACCGGUGGUGCAAACGGCUUUCUGGACCGUAACUGACGCUGAGACACGAAAGCGUGGGGAGCAAACAGG